AUACAUUAAGCCCAGUUUUCUGCGUAAUGAGAUAUUAUUAGUAUUUUUUGUUUGUUUGUUUUUAUUUGAGAUUGUUUUUUGUCUCAUGAUUCAAAGCUUGCCAUCUUUAUAAUUUCUUCAAUUAAAUUAGUAAAAUUUAUCCCUGCAUAGGCUGCAAUUUCUGGCACUAUUGAUAAAGGCGUCAUCCCAGGGUGAGUAUUGAUCUCCAAAACAUAUAAUUUGUUUGUCUGUUCUUCUAAAAUGAACUCUGCUCUAACAGGACCUUUACA
rnacentral:sRNA from 1 species